UCUCAGGACCUAGAAAGGCACCCGCCCCACCCAAGCCCCAUGGACAGAUGCCCCAGGCUGCACAUUCUGUCAGUGCUGUUCUCCAAGAGGCCCAGACACGUGCUGAAACAUGAAAGAACUCACAUAUGUAUCUCAUUUGAUCUCAUCACAACCUGGGACACAGGUUAUAAAUAGAGGCCACAGAGCUCAUUUUAUACCCGGUGAACGAGCCAACUUCCAUGCAGUUGAGAAAAGGUGGGAACUAUGUUUCAGAUGGUGGAGGUAGCUUGAAGUCCAACAUUACCCUGUCUCAAAAAAAAAAAAAAAACAAAAAUAAAACAAAAAACAAUUAUAUGAGAAAUCUGAAACCCAAAGGGAAAAAGACAACAUAACUAACCUUGGUCAAGUAUUUCUCCGUGCUAUUAUUUGAAGUCCGUGGAUUUGAGAUAACAACUCCUGUUGAAGAACUUGAUUCUUUGUAUCCAGAUGCAGACAUUCUGAACCUGCAGUCUCCAGUUCUGCUGUAAGAUCAUCAAUCUGAAUGAAAACAAGAAUACAGUGUGAUAAUGAAGGAAGUAGCCUGA